UCUAAUAUGGCAGAUUAGUGCAAUGAAUUUAAGAUUCAUAUAUAAAAAUUAUUUUUUUAUUAGAA
rnacentral:tRNA from 4 species